AAUCAUGGCUCAGGAUGAACGCUAGCUACAGGCUUAACACAUGCAAGUCGAGGGGCAGCAUGACGGAAGCUUGCUUUCGUUGAUGGCGACCGGCGCACGGGUGAGUAACACGUAUCCAACCUGCCCUUGUCCAUCGGAUAACCCGUCGAAAGGCGGACUAACACGAUAUGCAGUUCUCAGCAGGCAUCUAACGAGAACGAAAUGUGAAGGAGAAGGAUGGGGAUGCGU
rnacentral:rRNA from 1 species